rnacentral:miRNA from 1 species
UCACGAUGAUCAGUAAUCACUG